UACAUUCUUUUUUUUUUUUCUUUUCUCAAUUUUUACAUGCAAUUUUCAAGAGUCAAAGUCUAUGUUUCAAAAUCUUUUAGAAUUUAUUGAUCAUCACUUUUUUUUUUUAGGAUCUUUUCAAGUUUUACAUGUAAAUUCACAAGUUUAAAGUCCAAAAGCGUAGAUAUCAUGCAUAUGCAUACUCAUGCAUCUACAUCAUAUUGCAUUAAACUUUAGUCAUUUGCUUGCACAAAGAUCGAGCAUCAUGUCAAUAAGAUAGGAAAGUCAAAUGAUUGAAGAGAUAAAGAAAUAUCUAUAGGAUUUCGAUGCAAAAAGGACAUGGAUAAAAGACACCAAGAAUGCUCUAAGACAAAACCAUGCAAGAAAGAGAUUCAAGGACUCCAAGUGAAAGAAGAGCCAUUUGACAACUUUAGCUGCGAAGUUUUUUGCACUAAAUAUUUACAUGUUGACAUUCCCUUGGAGGAUAUUUAAUCAAGUGGAUAGAAACUCUAGAAAAGUUUAGAUCAAAGCUCAUAAAGAGUUUGAAUUUCUAUUUUAUAUUUGUAUGUACUUUUCUUCAGUUCUUAUUUACAAAGUUGAAUCAAUAUGACAAAGCUCCUUAAUUGAUGUGCAAUCAAAUGAGUAAAGAUCCAUAACAUAAGCAUAACAUGUACAUAGCAUACUAACAUUUUGUUUUGCAGUUACUUAGGCAUCCUAAGAAUAAUCCUAUCUUUAUAAGCUGAAAAGUGAUGGAUAUUAGUAAUAUGCCCUAGAGCAUAAUUUGUAAUUUGUAUAUUGUAAAUAUUAAUAAUUCCUAUUUAAUGGCAUAUAUCUUUUCUUUUA
rnacentral:misc_RNA from 1 species